UCCUUUUUAAACUUUUGCGCAAAAAAGGUAUUUUAAUUCAACAUCGAGGUCAUAAUCUCACUUGUCAAUUAGAUCUUUUAAAGUGAAUUAAGCUGUUAUCCCUAAAGUAACUUAUUCCUUUUUUAGAAAUUCUAGAUACUUAAACAAGUCCGUUUCUUCUUUUAAGAAAAGAUUUUUUCCUAACCGCCCCAGUUAAAUACUUUUCUCUUUAACUAAUAAAAAAAAAUAUAAAGUUUUAUAGGGUCUUCUUGUCUAAAAGANGUAUUUUAGCCUUCUUACUAAAAAGUAAAAUUCAUUUUUUUAGAUAAAAAAANAUUCUCCCGGUUUACUCUUUCAUUCCAGUCUCAAAUUAAAAGA
rnacentral:rRNA from 1 species